rnacentral:lncRNA from 1 species
AGGGGAUCCUUGGCCCCACUGUGCACCACACACUCCUUUCCCAGCCCAGGGGCACGCGAACAAAAUGAGGCUCAAGCUGACCAGGCCGAGCCGGAGGAACGCUGGGGCUUGGCAGCAGAAGGGAUGGGACCAGAGAGAAGGGUGUGGAGGAGACCCCAGUGAGGGCCAGGACAUUUCAGGUAAAGAGAGGUCAUAUCUCCGUACCUCACUUCCUGACACAAACAAGUUUUCACUGUUGUCAGCAACAAAGCCCUAAUAUAGCUGCGGAAGAGAAAAACUGCAUUGCAUUUUGCCUCCUGCAAGCAUCAUCAACAGUUACUGGAGGAACGUAAUUCCAGAAAGCUUGAAAGCCGUGGUGAUGGUAAUUAUGUAUCAAAUGCCUGGUUCUAUUUCUGUUAUUAUUGUUUUGUCAUUUCUGUUUUCCCAGCGAUCUGACUGAACUCGCAGAGGGACAAAUCCAGUUUUUCUUUUUGACUUUUGUCAAACUAAAUCAGGCCUGAUAGAAAACUCAUUGCUCUCCGGGGAAACAAAGUAGGAGCCACGAAAUGUCAUUUUAACAGAGCGUGGGUUUGGUGACUGUAGGAAAGGAUUUGAGGACGCUCCUUCUGUUCGGCUUCCUAUGUCAUGAGCACAGGCUCCACGCACGCACAGACACCACGGCUCCCGGAUGCUGUGGCUCCCCGAUCGGGGCUCCUGCAGCGCCAGAAGCCCCUCCGGGAUGCUUCGAGGGGCUCCCGGUGGGUGGAGGUACGGACGCCGCUGCGGCCGCCGCCGCCAGUCCUGCUGCUGUUGUUGCUGCUGCAGUCACGUGGGAGCCCCUUUAAGUUUCCAUAGAGAGGCCUCUCUGGUGUCACAUGAUGGACAUGAUAUAAUGAAACAACAUUGUGGAGAGGAAAGCAUUAGGGGAGCCCACGGCUACAAAAACAAGUGAGUGAGAAGAGGUGGGAGGAAGAGAAACUACGCCACCUCCCCUGCAGCCGAGUGCACGCAGCAGCCUGGCGUGACAAGUGGGCGACGCCGGGGGGCAGGGAGCCGGGGUCCUUGGCCCUGGCCGGGGACCCCACCGCCCACCGCGCGGAGGACAACUUUUAGCCGGCAGCCCAGACCAGCGCGGCACCUGUCUCCGGAGUCUCCACCGCUCCUCCCGAUUCAUCCCAGGGAAAUUCUCAAGAAUACGCUCUACAAAUCUACGUGCGCAUCAUUUUCACCUCGCGUCGCGCCCGGGAGGAAGGAACGAGGCAAGGAGCUAAAGCAGCGUGCGUUCAGCCCUGGGGCAUUUUAUUAAUGCUUUUACGAGUUAGAAGAGUUGGGAUAAUUUGCCAUCUGGAGUUUCUCUGCCUUGCUGAUCUGAGCUCAGACCUGCCAAUUUACCAGAGAUAAUUGAUAACACCCUGUAACAGCUGAAGACAGAGUCUUACCCUGUCACCCAGGCUGGAGUACAAUGGUGCGAUCUCGGCUCACUGCAACCUCUGCCUCCUGGGUUCAAGUGAUUCUUCUGCCUCAGCCUCCUGAGUAGCUGGGACUACAGGAGGAAAAUGGAAGAAACGGAGAUACUUUUAGUGAAGCAGAAUAAACCACUGAACAGCGUUGGCUGAAAAACAUAAGGGAAAAAUGAGGAAGCUGUGAGUACCAGUGGAAGGAACGAGCCAGGAAGAGGGACUGGAACCAUCUCAGAAGCCAUGCCCCUCAGGCUGGAACUUGCCCUGUCUCCUCGCAGAUGAGGACAAGUCCUGCGCUUGGGGAUCCUCUGUACGCCCGUUCACUGGUGCAGGUCUUCUGAACAAAUGCCUCCUGAGGAUUUCUGUGCCUGGAAAAUAUCUGUUAACAGACUGCUUUUACACCUACCUAUUUGGUGCUACUUCUACUCCUCAUGACCAAAGCUGGCUUUCAUGGUUUACUCAUGUACUUACUGAUGAAACCCUGAGACUUGGGGCCAGUGACUGUUCAGAGGUCCAUGUGAAGAUGCGCUGAAUGGUAUAAAGGACAGAGCAGUAAAGAGUGCUGGCUGAAUGCCUGGGCUGGCAAUCAGGCAUGUUGGAGUUUGAGUCCCAGUCUGCCACUCCAGCUCUGUGACCAAGAGGAAGUGAAGUCAUGUACCCUUUCUAAGUCUCUAGCCCCUCUUCUGAAAGACGAAGAUGCCACCACCAACCAUGUUAGUGGUUGUGAAUGCCAAGAAAGUCCAUGUGAAGCACAUAGCAUAGUGUCUGCCAUGCGUUAAGUGUUCCAAAAAUGGAAGCUAUGACUAUUUCACAGAGUACACUUCCCAUCACUUUUCAGUUCAUUUUGGCCUUCUCCCUCAAAAGCACUCCAGUGUUCUGAUCCAGCUGAUAAAACACCAAACAUUCACAUAGUGCUUUAAAAGUGACCCACUGUUUUUACAGACUGCAUUACAUAUGACCCUAACAACCACUGCAAUAUAGAAAUUCGCAUCUCCAUUCUCCAGAUCAGGAUACCGAAGCUCAGAAAAAUUAAAUGAUUUGCCCAGGAUCACAUAGUUAGUAAGCAGCCCAGCCAGAUCCUGUGUUAACUUGUUCAUCCGCUUCCUAUAAGAAAACAUCCAUUCAAGGCACAUGGGGCAACAAAGAAGGACUUAGAGCUGUGUGGCCCCUCGUCAGGGCAGUACCAGUUGCACCCAUAGUCCGGCCUGAAUACUCAGCUUAGGACUAUUGUGUCCAAUGUCCCAAACAUUUUGAAGCUACAUCUUAAAGAAGUGUCCUGCUCAGAUGCAGUUCUCCUUGUGAAAUCCGCAGGCCCCAAGGAAAGUGACUUUAAUCCAGUUUGCUCAUGCAAGAACAGACUGGCAUUUCACAUCCAGGAAAACAAUGGAUUUGUACUGUUCAGCUUUUGCCAUGCAAGGAGUUCCUGGUGUGGUUUAUUAAUUUACAUCUCAGGCUCCAGCUUCACUAUCAAUCAGAUUUGGAAGAAAAAAGUUACAAAGAAAGGCAGCUUGCUGAGAAACAGCGGAAGCAUGACGGUACAGACUGGGUUUUGAAAUGGAGACACAUUCUCAUGGCUUGUGGGCUGAGAGACACUGAGAAAGGAUUUUGUUCUUGAAAGAUGAUUGUUUUAAUGCUGGAGAUGGAGAGUUUUGACAAUUUUAAGUGCAUGUUCUGUGUGUAAGAAAGAGUCAUUACGUUUUUUUUUUCUUUCAGAUGUUGCCAUGCCUUAAAAUUGCUGAUGAUUAAAAUAGAACAUCCUGAGUUACAGAAAUUCAGCCCUAGUGUAUCCUGGCCUAAAAAUACAGAACAAUCAAGUUGAUUGUUGGAAAUGAGAGGCUAGGCAGGGUUGGAAACAUGCUAAUGUUUACUGAGUGAAAUCUUUCCUUCUCAGUAGAGUUGCCCUUGCAGCUGAAAGUCACUGAAAGACUCAACAAAAUAAGCAGAUCCCACUUGUCUCACUCUGUUCUCCUAUGCAUGCCCUGGAAAGAGAAUGAAUGAGCCCUUUUUAAUUUAUCAACUGGUUUUCUUCCAUCUCUUUACUAGUGAGCCAUGGGGGUUUUUUGCCGUUAACUGGGUAGCCAGUCUCUUCAUGGAGACUUAUUUUCAGGAAACUAGCCUCUUGCUUUAUGUGAAAACAAGGACCCAACUCAA